UCCAAAACCAAAGCUCUUUCUUCCGGCCAGCCCUCAUACUGCCGGCCAAUUCCGAUGCCCCUUUUGUCCUCCACUUCCACUUGUUGCCUUCUCUUUUCCUCCGCGACAGACUACCCCCAUUGCUUUCUGAAAUUGAAGCCCGACGAAUAAAAUUAGCAUAUCUUUGAUCCGAGGGCCAAAACUGCACAUCAUCUCAAAAUCAGAUCAUGCUCCUCAAUCUCAGAAUUCUUUGGCCCCCUCCAAAGCCGCAUUCCAAAGCAUAUGUCAAAUUAGAAAAGGUCAAUCCCCAGAGACCUGAACAGUUCAACAAUCAUAUCGAGUCACUUUAAACAAAAGACUUUGAACGCUGUUUCUUAACAAAAGAGCACCCAUUUUAAACCCCACGAGAUUGGACAUUAGAGCAGCCAGCAGAAAGAGAGACGAAGAGGCCGGAGAAAAUGCAACCACAAUGGUUCAAAGAAGCCACCCAAGUCUGCCUCCAUGGCUGCUGCCAGAGACCCUUCCUCACUCCGCCGGAGACCCAGAAAACCGUCGGUAAAUCCAGAAGCACAUCGUCGACUUGCAGGCACCACUUCGCCGUGACGACUACUUCCUCCUUCUUCUCCAACACCCAAUUCACCAACCACGAAUCUCUUCCUUCUUUGCAGGAAUCAUUCGCCCAGUUCACGAAAACUUAUCCACGGUACUCUGAAACUUCUCAGAUUGAUCAAAUCCGAGCCAAAGAGUACUGCCACCUCUCCCUCUCCAAACAUGUCUGUCUCGAUUACAUAGGCAUAGGACUCUUCUCAGAUUCACAGUUGCAGAGCCAUUAUUCUUCGGCAAUCCCGGUUGCUUCCUCCUCUUCUCCACCGCCUCAGAAUUCUGAGUUUCCGCUCUUCAGCAUAUCGUACAAGUCCGUGAGUUUCAAGUCGCAGCUACUCCAUGGCGGGGAGGGAUCUGAAUUGGAAUCCAGCAUCAAGAAGAAGAUCAUGGAGUUUCUUAACAUAUCUGAAACUGAUUACGCCAUGGUUUUCACUGCCAACAGAUCGUCGGCGUUCAAGCUUCUGGCCGAGUCUUACCCGUUUCCGUCCAGCCGAAAGCUUCUGACAGUGUACGACUACGAGAGCGAAGCGGUUGACACCAUGGUUAGAACAGCGGAGAAGAGAGGAGCAAGAGUCAUGUCGGCGGAAUUCAAGUGGCCGAGGCUGAGAGUUCACGGGGGGAGAUUGAGGCAGAUUCUGGUGAGGAAGAGGAAGAAGAAGAAGAACAGGGGACUCUUCGUUUUCCCUCUCCAGUCCAGAGUUACAGGAGGAAGUUACUCUUAUCAAUGGAUGAGCCUGGCGCAGGAAAAUGGCUGGCAUGUCUUGCUUGAUGCUUGCGCGCUGGGACCAAAAGAUAUGGACAGCUUCGGCCUUUCUCUUAUCCGCCCCGAUUUUCUCGUUUGUUCCUUCUACAAAGUUUUUGGAGAAAAUCCGAGUGGAUUUGGAUGCCUCUUCGUCAAGAAAUCCACCGUUCCAGUCUUGGAAUCUUCUACGAGCACAGGGAUUGUAAAUUUAGUCCCAACGAGGAAGCUGCUUUCUUUUUCCGAGGAUUCUUCCGAGAUAGAUGUCGAACAGGCUUCCAGAUUGGGGAUUGAAGAAGUUCGGUUACCGGCAUCGAGCUUCUUCUCAGGUCCAAUUCUUGCGGAGAAACAAGAAAAAGAAAAGGAAAUUUCGGAAAAGACCAGCGAGUUGGUCCAGGAGAUUGAAUGCCGGUGCCUGGAUCACAUGAAUUCGCUUGGACUAAUGCUGAUCAGCAGCAGAGCGAGGUUACUGAUCAACUGGCUGGUGAAUGCGAUGAUGAAAUUGCAGCAUCCGAAUGCGGAGGAGAGGAUUCCGCUGGCCAGAAUCUACGGGCCGAAGAUAAAGUUCGACCGAGGACCGGCAUUGGCGUUCAACGUGUACGAUUGGAAAGGGGAAAAGGUGGAGCCGAUUCUAGUUCAGAAGCUCGCUGAUCGGAGAAACAUUUCGCUCAGCUAUGGCUUCCUGCACCACAUCUGGUUCUCGGACAAGCACGAGGAGGAGAGGGAGAGAGUGAUGGAGCCGAGAAAGAGCGGAGAGAAAGAGACGAAGAAGAGAGGAAAAGCGGAUCGGAUUAAAGUGGUUACCAUUGCGCUAGGGUUUCUAGCCAAUUUUGAAGACGUUUACAGGCUUUGGGCCUUUGUGGCUCAGUUCCUGGACGCUGACUUCGUGGAGAAGGAGCGAUGGCGAUACACAGCGCUCAACCAGAAGACGGUCGAAGUCUGAAUCCAUCGUCUUCCUCCGUCCGUUCAUCCAGGCUAGCAAUUACAGAAGGUUGUUGGGGCAUUAUCCUGAGCUAUUUAGCUGGUGCCUUUGGGGUUUCUUAUGGUGUAUGUCCCCCUAUGACGACGAUGAUGCUGAUGACGCUCAUUCUUUAAGGGAACUCCCUCCCCCUAUAAGGAGCAGGUUUCUUCCAAAGACAUGGGUCAACUAGCAGAUGCCAUCAAGAGGAAGAAAGUGUCGAUCGAUGGUUUGGGCAAGCCCCCACCUGCUUGGGGUGAAGGCACUAGCAAGCACCCUAGGCCUUCUCAUUAGACCAUUGCCAUGUCAUCGCCAGCCAAGGGGCAUUCUCCAAGGACUCCACUCCCGCCACCAAUUUCUUCGACCAUACCAACGAACGUUUUGAGCUCUUCAGCAUCUUCCAUUACCAAAGCUUUUCUCUAGUUCGGCUCCCAGCAUUCCUAAUGAGUUGAUGUCGACCCUCCAAGCUCUUCUCAUAAGCGUCCUCAUGGUAUUUGCAGUCGUCGCUAUAGGCCUCUAUCUCCCUUUCGUCAUGACCAUGUACGACUUUCCUUGGAGAGUAGCUGUUACUCGUCUGUUCUUCUGAAAGUUUUGUCAUCGCAUCUACCUAUGCGAUUGGAAGAUGGCCACUUUCUUUGAGGUAAGCAUUUCCAGGUCAGUCUUGGCGUGAUUGAUUCCAAUUCCGUGAAAGAGCCCGAGAUAGGUUCUUACUUUAUUUAUUCCACUGUCCCUUCUCAUGAUGAGAGGGAUAUGUUUAGCAGGAAAUUUCCUGACUACUUGGAUAGCCUAGAACACGAGCUCAUCCGUGUAAGUUCCAUUAUUUUUUUCUUCUUUACUUUAAUACUUGCAUUCUUUUUUUAACUUUCUUCUUUUCUUUUUCUUUCUAAUGGGUGCAAUGCGUGGUGGUAGCCAACGCACAUUCUCAUUUCCAUCACGUUUCAUUGAAGAGCAGAUAGCCCGAUGGCAUAGAGACUGAGCUAGGUCGGAUGCCUAGUUUAAAAGUGCUGACUAGUCUAUUAUCAAGGUUCGCAAGGAGUGCAAUUCCUUGCGUCGGUCCUGCCAAGAGUUCCAGGGACAUGCAAUACCCUAUGUUUUCAUGAGGUUGCCAUAUAAUUAAGGUUAGUUUGAAAUACCGAAAAAUGGGCUUGUAAAGGCAACAAGUGAUCGAAUCAGCUGUAGAGAGUGCCCUGGAGCUUAGAUACCUAAGGUAAAAUGUAUGAAAUUGACGAGCAUCUCGAGAUGAGAUUUAUGACUCUGAAAGAAAUCAAAUCAGAUAUGAUUUUUGGUACAACUAAGUUAUAGCCUGAAAAAUUGAAUAAUGGAAAGAGACUUCCAAGAAAUUCACGAAACCUUAAGGAGACUCUAAUUUUGUAGUUAGAACAACCCUUAAGUGGUUUCAAAAUGAAACAAAAGGGUUUUGCGAUCGAAACAUGAAUUUGGGGCCUAAGUGUAAUUUUCAAUUCUAAUUAAAAAAUGGGCGAAAUGAUAUUUUUUCCAAUUUGGGGAACCAAAUGUUGAGGGUGAAUCUUAUGGGUUCAAAUGGUCAAAUAUCGAAGACUAAGGACUUCAAAUAAGGGCUCAAAAUGAAAUUUGAAAAUGAUAUGACGUCAAAGUGCGAAUUCUAAAAAGCAACCAUGGCCACCGCUGACCAGCCUCCAGCUGUCGUCAGAAAGGUCGCCUCAAGGUCCAUCAUGGGCUUCAAGGCAUGGAGAGUUGAAUUGGGUAGGGUAUGGGCCAAGGAUGGCCGUGAUUUGACGUCGGUAAGGUGGGGUAUGGCCGAGGGUCACCAAAAAUCAGGAAAGGGGUGUUCGUGACAAAUCAUCACAAUUUGAGGCUAUCUAAGGUUGUAUCAGGAAUUAAAAGCUUGGAUUUGACUAUGCAUGGCUUGUUUUAGCUCAAAAAUCGAGUACAAAUAGAGGUUUAAGGAUGACCAAAUACUUCAAAAAUUAAACUCGAGAAUUCGAGUAUUUGAGGAAGAAUUGAGAGAGAAGGAUAAAGGAAAUUUGUUCCCCAUGUGUUGAGGAUCAAUUCUAGAGUUUGUGAAGGGUUUUCAUGUGGUUUUGAGGGAGAUUUAAGGCUUGGCCGAAAAAUGUGUGGGUCGUUGAAGGCGGACUGAAAAUGGCAGUUUCGGGCUACCUUAGUCGAUUGUUUCAAGCCAAGAUUGGUUCCAUGGGGUUCGGAAUGGUCCAUAGGCCAAGAAGGAAGAAAGAAAUCGAGCAUCGGAGCAAGUUGCAGUCGCCAGCGACAAAGUGGUUGUCAGAGGAGAAGAUGCGCUUGGGGUGCACGCGCAAAUCUCACGUGCAGUCCACACGCUAGCGCAUGAGGACUAGUGAAGCACGGGGUAAUUUUGGAAUUUUUUUUAUUAUUUUUCUGAAAUUAUUUUAUGAAUUAUGGUGGAGAAAAAUUUGAAAAAAAAUCUUGAGCAUGUAUUUAUUUUAAAAUUAUCGAGAGAGAAAUAUGAGAAAGUAAGAUAAAAUUAUGUAAAAAUAGAUGAUAUUCUUUUGAAAAAAUAUAAUGGCCUGGGAUCGUUGAGGCUUGAGAUUGAGAAAUAGUACGAUUAUUUAGGCUUGACAUGAAAAUCAAGGUAAUGCAAGCAUACCGAGAAAGUCUAAGAGGCUAAAUCAAUGUGAGUAGUUUUUCCCGAAAACUUAUACAUAUUAUGUUUUGCCUAUGUUGAGUAUGUUAUUCACAAAAAUUGCUAAGUUAUAUGUAAUUUAUGUACAUCUUGGCAUAUUUGUACAUGUAUUGUUGGCAUAUCGAUAAUUGUGAAUGGGAUGAGAUGUUACCCUGAUAGUGUAGUCGUAAUUCUCCAAGGAUAUUAUCGAAAUAAUGUAUAGGAGUAUCAUGUUGCCUUGUGUGCUUGCCGGGAUGACUGCCUAGGGUUCCAUGUCAGGCUGG